rnacentral:rRNA from 1 species
GACGAACGCUGGCGGCGUGCCUAAUACAUGCAAGUAGAACGCACAGUUGAUACCGUAGCUUGCUACACCAUAGACGGUGAGGUGCGAACGGGAGAGUAACGCGUAGGUAACCUGCCUGGGAGCGGGGGAGAAAUAUUGGAAACGAUAGCUAAUACCGCAUAAUAUUGAUUAUUGCAUGAUAAUAGAUUGAAAGAUGCUAUUGCAUCACUACCAGAGGGACCUGCGUUGUAGUAGCUAGUAGGUGAGGUAACGGCCCACCUAGGCGACGAUACAUAGCCGACCUUGGCGGGUGCUCCGCCCACCUGGGACCGCGACCCGGCCCAGACUCCUUCGGGGAGCCGCCGUAGGGAAUCUUCCGCCAUGGGCGCAAGUCUUGCCGGGCAACGCCGCCUGAGUGAAGAAGGUUUUCGGAUCCUAAAGCUCUGUUGUUAGGGAAGAACCGGUGUGAUAGUUGACAGUUCACGCUGUGACGGUAUCUUACCAGAAAGGCACGGCUAACUACGUG